CGUCCGCGUAUAAACGUCGGUAGUUGGUUCUGUCCGUCCGUGUUGUCUAUAUGAAUAUAUUCCGCCUUUUCUGUUUUCUUUCAAUCAAUUCCUUUUUCUCCUUUUAGGUUUGACAAGCUGAUAUCCCCACCUAACGGGCAAAAGCUCCCUGAUCAACGUAUUGAGGACCUACCCGGAUUAGAGCUCUGAUCCUAGCGCCUACGGUUCCUCUAAAACGGAACUCACUAAAUUUAAGUUGGGACAGAUAACCCUUCUUGUCUCCCCCAGGUCGUCCGUUUUGGUCCGGAGUCCGGCAUUUACCCUUGCCGCCCGGGGAGGUUGCAAGCAUCAGGAGCUCCCACGUUGAUUGGAGUGGCGAUGGUGACUGGGCGUGGCUGAUGACCGACGACAGGUGUAUUGUAAUUAUUCCUUAUUUUGCUUAUACUUCAUAUAUUUUCCAGACUCUCUAUUUAGGCUAUAAAUCCAAUUCAGUUUGUAGGUUAAGCCUUUUUUUCAUUUGUAGGUUAAGCUCUAUUUAGUUUGUAAGUUAAACUCUAUUUAGUUUGUAAGUUACACUCUAUUUAGUUUGUAAGUUAAACUCUAUUUAGUUUGCAAGUUACACUCUGUUUAGUUGGUAAGUUUUAAUCUCAUAUAGUUUUUAGGUUGUAACUUCCUGAUGCACGUAGUUUUUAGGAUUAAUUCGCAUGUAGUUUUUCAAGAUUAAUUGACACGUAGCUUUUAAGAUUAUUCGGCAUGUAGAUUUUAGCCUUGUGUUUUUCUUUCUUAUUUGUAGUUGAUUAAUUAAUUUAGGUUGUAGCCAAAAAUGCAAAUUUUCUUGAACACAAAUUCACGGCAAAUAAAAAACUCUUUCGCUACCACUGGUGUUUUAUUUUCUCAUUUCCUUUUUUUUUUUCGUUCAUAGCGUUUAUAUUAAGGUAAAAGUGGUUCACACUGCUUUGUGGCACCGGGCAUUUCACUUAACCGCAGACACUUGCAGAAAAAAAACUUUCUUCUCCAAUCUCUCGCAGACAAACUCUUUCCUCUCCAUCCAGCCAGCUCCAAUAUCCAGAUCCAAAAGAAAGGGAAAAGCCCAGGAAAUCGGCCAUUUUCCCUAAAUUUCCUAAUAUGGCUUUUUCCUUUCGCUUUUUCCCUUAUUUUUGAUAUUUGGCCCCAAGCGACCUGACAUAUAUCAAUUCCAAUCUGUGGCCAGCUGUUUCGGCCGCGUUGCCAACCAAA